CAUAUACUCCCUCCGUUCCGAAUUACUUGUCUUAGAUUUGUCUAAAUACGGAUGUAUCUAGCACUAAAAUAAGUCUAGAUACAUCCGUAUCUAGACAAAUUCAAGACAAGUAAUUCAGAACGGAGGGAGUAAUAG
rnacentral:pre_miRNA from 1 species